GAUGAACGCUGGCGGCGUGCCUAAUACAUGCAAGUCGAACGCGCCGAGACGGCUACUUGUUCCUUUCCACGCGAGUAGCGAGCGAGUGAGUCAUACGUGAGCAACCUACCCUUCAGCGGGGGAUAACCAUCGGAAACGCUAACUCAUACUACAUAGUCGUUCUAGUUGCUUGACUGGGAUGGGUAACACCGCUUCGGGUGUCACUGGCGGCUGGUCCCGCGGUGCAUUAGCUAGACGGUGGGGUAACGGCCUACCGUGGCGUGGAUGCAUAGCCGACCUGGGAGGGUGAUCGGCCACAUUGGGACUGAGACACGGCCCAUACUCCUGCGGGAGGCAGCAGUAGGGAAUCGUCCGCAAUGGACGGAAGUCUGACGGAGCAACGCCGCGUGUGUGAAGAAGGUCUUCGGAUCGUAAAGCACUGUUAUCAGAGAAGAAUAGCCUAUAGAGUAACUGUUAUAGGUUUGACGGUAACUGAUCAGAAAGCCACGGCUAACUACGUG
rnacentral:rRNA from 1 species